rnacentral:rRNA from 1 species
UACAGAGACUGCAAGCGUUACUCGGAAUCACUGGGCGUAAAGGGAGCGCAGGCGGACCGAUGUGUCAGGUGUGAAACUCCGGAGCUCAACUCCGGGACUGCGCCUGAAACUGUCGGUCUAGGGACUCGGAGGGGCUAGUGGAAUUCCUGGUGGAGCAGUGAAAUGCGUAGAUAUCAGGAGGAACACCAACGGCGAAGGCAGCUAGCUGGACGAGAUCCGACGCUCAGGCUCGAAAGUAUGGGGAGCAAAAAGG